rnacentral:rRNA from 1 species
CCUACGGGUGGCUGCAGUGAGGAAUAUUGGUCAAUGGGCGCGAGCCUGAACCAGCCAAGUCGCGUGAGGGAAGACGGCCCUACGGGUUGUAAACCUCUUUUGCCGGGGAGCAACGGGCGCCACGUGUGGCGCCACUGAGAGUACCCGGAGAAAAAGCAUCGGCUAACUCCGUGCCAGCAGCCGCGGUAAUACGGAGGAUGCGAGCGUUAUCCGGAUUUAUUGGGUUUAAAGGGUGCGUAGGCGGAGCGUUAAGUCAGUGGUCAAAUUGAGGGGCUCAACCCCUUCCCGCCAUUGAAACUGGCGCUCUUGAGUGGAAGAGAAGUAUGCGGAAUGCGUGGUGUAGCGGUGAAAUGCAUAGAUAUCACGCAGAACCCCGAUUGCGAAGGCAGCAUGCCGGCUUCCUACUGACAUUGAUGCUCGAAAGUGUGGGUAUCAAACAGGAUUAGAUACCCUAGUAGUC